UACGAAGGAGGCAAGCGUUGUCCGGAAUCACUGGGCGUAAAGCGCGUGUAGGUGGAAGAGGAAGUCUGCUGUGAAAGCGCCUGGCUUAACCGGGCGAGGUCGGUGGAAACUCCUCAUCUCGAGGGCGGUAGAGGGGGGUGGAAUUCCGGGUGUAGUGGUGAAAUGCGUAGAGAUCCGGAGGAACACCUGUGGCGAAGGCGGCCCCCUGGGCCGCACCUGACGCUGAGACGCGAAAGCGCGGGGAGCGAACGGG
rnacentral:rRNA from 1 species